rnacentral:lncRNA from 1 species
AUGGAACAGAACAGAGACUUUGACCAGAGACUGGGAACAGUAAUAAACUUUGCCUUCCAACAAUCCCCGGGUUUAGAGUCUGCAUUUAAGAUGAGAAACUGCUAUCCCAUCCUUGGUAAAAACAUGCCAGCUGGUAACCUGAAAUGGUCCCAAGAGCUCAGAAAACGGAUCCUGUCAAACUGCAGUAAACUAAGCCAGCUGAUGUGUAAACAAGCUCACCUCAUCACAAAUGACUAACACAAAUACAAACUUUUGCUUCUGGUGCCAUAUUUGACAAAGUAACAUGCCAUAUUUUGUAUGUGUUAGGCCGUUAGACAUUCCUGAGGCACAGCAGUUCUGUGAGUGUGUAUUGGAGGUUCUGGAUCAGAUGGAUAAUAAAGUCUACAAUAACUGAUUUGAUGAGUUAUGCCACACACAUCUGAAUAAACCACUGCUGUUACUGGACAAGAAGAGCAACCUGUACAGCUUGAACUGUAACCCUGUUGUAAGGCACAUGCACAAACUCACAUAAUUUAUCUAACUAAAUGGAGAUUUUCCGUGAGCUAACUAGAGGUCAGAAUGUCAUAACGACUUGGGGGUGAUUCAUUUUGACUUUUCACCAUUAAAGUGUGCAUCAAGUAAAAUAAAUCAGUUUUCUAAGUACAUGUCAUGCAUAUGUUUUACCUUUUUCUUUUUUCUUUUCUUUUUUUUAAUCUAAAAUGUCAAAAUUAGACCUUCCAGUGAAAAAGACACUUUUUUAUGGUGAUGUAUUCCAGACAUGUCUAAUAAUUUAGUUUGCUUAAUACCCCACUUACAGGCUCAUCUGCAUUAAUUUACCUCAGUUUUUGAGUACAGCGCCCAAAACUCAAAAUCCAACCAACAGCCUAUGGAUAGAAUCAAGCCCCCAUCCAUCAAGUAAAAUAAAUCAGUUUUCUAAGUACAUGUCAUGCAUAUGUUUUACCUUUUUCUUUUUUUCUUUUCUUUUUUUUUAAUCAAAAUAGUCAAAAUUAAGACCUUCCAGUGAAAAAGACACUUUUUUAUUGGUGAUGUAUUCCAGACAUGUCUAAUAAUUUAGUUUGCUUAAUACCCCACUUACAGGCUCAUCUGCAUUAAUUUACCUCAGUUUUUGAGUACAGCGCCCAAAAACUCAAAAUCCAACCAACAGCCUAUGGAUAGAAUCAAGCCCCCCAUCUUGCAUUUUGUUUCUUUUUCUUAUAAACCAUAAUACUCAGGUGUACGUCACAUCUGUUACUACUUUGUUUCAUCGUGACUUUAAGGGUUAGUUCACUCAAAAAUUAUAAUCAAUCACUCACCCUCAUGUCGUUUUGUUCGUUUUUUAAACACAAAUUUAGAUUUUUUUAUUUUUCCAACCUGAAAGAAUUUUGUCCAUUCACUGAAAGUUUAUUCCACCAAAAAUUUGAUGCUUCAAAAAGUUCAUAAAGAGAUCCUAAAAAGUAAGCACAUAUACACAAAAUAAGUGCCAGUAUUGCCUCCGCAAUGUAAGUCACUCAGUAUUAAC